AGAGAUGUGCUAAUACCGCAUAUUCUCUGAGGAGGAAAGCAGGGGAUCGAAAGACCUUGCGCUUUGGGAGCGGCCGAUGUCUGAUUAGCUAGUUGGUGGGGUAAAGGCCUACCAAGGCGACGAUCAGUAGUUGGUCUGAGAGGACGACCAGCCACACUGGGACUGAGACACGGCCCAGACUCCUACGGGAGGCAGCAGUGGGGAAUUUUGGACAAUGGGCGCAAGCCUGAUCCAGCAAUGCCGCGUGAGUGAAGAAGGCCUUCGGGUUGUAAAGCUCUUUCAGUCGAGAAGAAAAAGUCGUGACUAAUAAUCAUGAUUCAUGACGGUAUCAACAGAAGAAGCACCGGCUAACUACGUGCCAGCAGCCGCGGUAAUACGUAGGGCGCAAGCGUUAAUCGGAAUUACUGGGCGUAAAGGGUGCGCAGGCGGUUCUGUAAGUCAGAUGUGAAAUCCCCGGGCUUAACCUGGGAACUGCGUUUGAAACUGCAGAGCUAGAGUGCGGCAGAGGGAGGUGGAAUUCCAUGUGUAGCAGUGAAAUGCGUAGAGAUAUGGAAGAACAUCGAUGGCGAAGGCAACCUCCUGGGCUAGCACUGACGCUCAUGCACGAAAGCGUGGGGAGCAAACAGGAUUAGAUACCCUGGUAGUCCACGCCCUAAACUAUGUCAACUAGUUGUCGGGUCUUAUUAGACUUGGUAACGUAGCUAACGCGUGAAGUUGACCGCCUGGGGAGUACGGUCGCAAGAUUAAAACUCAAAGGAAUUGACGGGGACCCGCACAAGCGGUGGAUUAUGUGGAUUAAUUCGAUGCAACGCGAAAAACCUUACCUACCCUUGACAUGUCAGAAAAUUUUCAGAGAUGAAUUUGUGCCCGAAAGGGAAUCUGAACACAGGUGCUGCAUGGCUGUCGUCGGCUCGUGUCGUGAGAUGUUGGGUUAAGUCCCGCAACGAGCGCAACCCUUGUCAUUAAUUGCCAUCAUUUAGUUGGGCACUUUAAUGAGACUGCCGGUGAUAAACCGGAGGAAGGUGGGGAUGACGUCAAGUCCUCAUGGCCCUUA
rnacentral:rRNA from 1 species